GGAAAGUCUUAAAAUAUGACUGGCAGUCAUGAGGUCAGGGGUUCGAUCCCCCUCAGCUCCACCA
rnacentral:tRNA from 1 species